rnacentral:rRNA from 1 species
CAGUCGCCACGGUAAUACGAAGGGUGCAAGCGUUACUCGGAAUUACUGGGCGUAAAGCGUGCGUAGGUGGUGGUUUAAGUCCGUUGUGAAAGCCCUGGGCUCAACCUGGGAAUUGCAGUGGAUACUGGGUCACUAGAGUGUGGUAGAGGAUAGUGGAAUUUCCGGUGUAGCAGUGAAAUGCGUAGAGAUCGGAAGGAACAUCUGUGGCGAAGGCGACUAUCUGGGCCAACACUGACACUGAGGCACGAAAGCGUGGGGAGCAAACAGGAUUAGAUACCCCAUUAGUCCCUGUCUCUUAUAC